CCGCGAUGAGGGGCAUCAAGAGGCUGCGGCUCAAAAUCUGGCGGCGAUGCACCCUGGCGCUCCUCCUCCUCUGGGCUGCCUGCUGGAUGGUGGUGAGCGCCUUGCUGUUCCUCCUCCACAGGAGCGUCUUCUCCGAGCGCUGCACCGACGAGAAAAGCCACCGCAUCCUGACCAGGCUGUGUCUUGACUACAGCAGUGGAGCCCUGACUGGUGACCUCUGUGAAGACCUGUGUGUGGCACAGAAGCUGGUGUACAAACACUGCCUUUACUAUGACAGAGGUAAGAAGGUCAUCCAGGCUGACUGGAGAGGCCAGCCCAUCAUCCUGAAAUCCAAAAAGGAAAUCUUCUCCAGCUACCAGCAUCUCAGUAUGCUAGAGGAGGUAGAAACACAGGAUAUUCCUGAAACAGAGCUUCUGCUGUUGGUAGCUCUGGAGGUCAAAAAUGCCCUGGGGUUAGAACUGUCCAACAAUACCAUGGGGCCUCUGUGGACAAAGAAGAAGGGACCUCGUUGGAAAGCACAGGUGGCCAGCAUGUGGUCCUUGCUUCAGCAGGAAGAAUAUAUCUACUUCAGUUUGCUGCAGGACUUCAGCAAACAUGUGUUACGAAUUAUUGGCUCUUGUGGACACUUUUAUGCUGUGGAGUAUCUCACAGCUGGACAGGCCUGGCACAAAACUCUUUUUCCUUUGGAAAAUGUGGUUGGUCCCUCCCUUGCUGGCCACAGAAGCAGAAUGAGAGCCAUCAUUGACAUUGCACUCAGCUUUUUGGACAUGGUGCAGCAUUUUGAUAAUGAUUUUUCUCACCGACUUCACCUGUGUGACAUCAAACCAGAAAACUUCGCUAUCAGGCACGAUCUCACGGUGGUGGCCAUCGAUGUGGAUAUGGCCUUUUUUGAACCCAAAAUGAGGGACAUCCUGGAACAGAACUGCACAGAGGAUGAAGACUGUAAUUUUUUUGAUUGCUUUUCAAAAUGCAAUCUGAAAAUCAGAAAAUGUGGAGCACAAAGAGCCAAUAACAACUUGCAAGUAAUUUGUGACAAAAUAUUCCGCCGCUGGUUUUCGCCAAAUCUCGGAGGAUCAUCGGUUUCCUUCCCUCUGCAGCUGCAGCUGCAGAAAGCUGUGCAGGAGUGUGCUGAACCGGGACACUUGGACACUGCCGGGCACCAGAGGACUCUGAAAUCUCUCUCUGAGUUAUACCACCUGCUUCGAGUCUCCCAACGAGAACUGCAAAGGACAGGGUAGACACAAAAGGCAGAAACGCAAGGGCCACAUCCCACCUACUGCUAGGGGACACUAUGUGCAGCAGCCUAUAUUUUCUUUCUCUCUCUUCUAUCCCUCCUUACCUGUUGCAUGACAUUUACAGCAGAGAGAUUGGUUUUCCUCUAUGCAAAUGAAAUUCACGGCUGCGGGUGCAGCAUGUCCUGUUAAUAUCCUUUGAAGUGUGAAAUUGUUUUACAUUACCUGGAUUCUGUUCCUGCUUGUUUUCCUGAACUAGCACUAGCUCUCUCGCAUCAGCAUUCAGCACAUCAUUUGCCCACUGAGAGCUGUAGUCACUGCUCAGAUAGCAUCUGUCUGAGUGCUGUGGUCAGAGUAAGGAUGUAUGGAUGGUGCUUUGAAGAUGAAAAGUGUAAAUGCAGUAAAAUUAACAUAUUAUGCAGUAAAAUUAAUAUUAUGGGUGGGUGCAGAUAGGUAUGCGCAUGGUAGGGCUUUUUAAUUUCUCUCUAGAAUUAAUUUCUUUUAAAGUAGGGACAGAGUGUUCUGUGUGAAAAAACAACCUCAAAUAGGCAAAUGUUUUGUCACAAAAGUGAAGAGCUGCUGUUGCAGAAAGCAGUCCUCUCUGAUGUUCCCAAAUGCAUUUUCUCUGGUGCGUUGUAUCACUUGUGCAUAGCUAACUUUCUGAGGAGAAAUUAGGACUUCUCUAAGGCAAAUAAUUAUGCCCUUGUUGAGUUCCCAUGUGGGUACUCAUAUUCUGCAAUGAAGGGGUAUGAAUAAUGCUACUGAAUUUUCCCAUGUGAAGAAGCCCUCGGGCACUUGAACAUCAUAGAACUUGAUAAGAAGCACUCCUUUGCCAGAGAGCAGAUUUACCCAGGAAUGCCAACAAUCUGUCCUUUGCACCGAGCAGAACAAUAUCCAGACCUGGAGUUUUCUUACACAGCAUUUUUUUAACGAACAAAAGGAAAUUUUUCGUAAGAAUUCAUUAUCUUGCAAUCAGGUACAUAAGAUUCCUAGAUUAACUUAAAAUUAUUAGCUUUGCCUUUCCGAUGUGUGAAGCUAUACGUAGAGAAUCUUAACAUGUGGGUUGGGAGUAUGUUGCAUGUAUUCAGGUCUAAUCCUGGGCGAUCUGCUCAUGAGCCGAUUUUGGCAUGAAGAUGCUAAAACCCCCACAAACUAAAAUAAAUCCACAGCUUGAGACAGCCCUUUAAUAUUAAGACUGACAAUACUGUUUUGUUGGAUGCGAGACACAUAAAAGCACCUAAUCUUUUUUGUCUUUAUAUCCCUUGACCUCAUGACAGCCCUGAAGUCUGUAAGCAGUAAUAAUACAUACAUUUUCAAUUUCUGGAGUGGUUCUUUAAAGUGAUGUUAAAGACUGCCUGCGACCAGAAAAAUGUGAGCUGCUUAGGGUACCUUGACACUUACUCAAAUAUUCAGACUAGUGAUCGCUUUUUGUAUUUCUUGUAAUAAACCACCAUAAUUCUUAAAAUUGUUCAGGUCCUCCAGAAGCUCAAAGGGAGGGCAAGGUCAGCUGCCUUGCCUGGGGCUGUACCGAAGACAAGCUGCCGCUAAGCCAGAGCUACAUCCCAGGAGCUCCUGAUUGGUGAAGUUAAGCUCAGUCUCUAACCAAGGAGGCAAACAAUGUUUCAGUCCUCAUCCUUUGCAAAAGCAGGAAGUCAAAACAGAAUAAGAAGAAACCUAAAUUCCAGAACAGUUCCUAAUACAAAGUCAUGAAACUAAUAGUGGAGAAAAUAAUUAACAAUAGAAUCAGGUUGUGGUAAAUAGUUGCGGGCAGAUAAAGUAUCAGGUAGAGAGAAGAUGAGGAAAAAGGGAUGAAGGAGAAAGAGAAAAAAUGAAGUAAAAACCAUGCCACACUUUGUGAAAACUUGAUUUAUGAUGUAAGGUUGAACAACCUGUCAUUUCAUCUGAGGAAGAAGCGGCUGAAGAGAGGCACAGUAACUCUCUUCAGAAACAGAAAGUGGCUGAUAAAAAGAAUAAGAGUGAACUGUUCUGUCCAUUUUUCCUUGAACAAUGAACAUAAAUCACAGCAAGGAAAAUUCUAGUUGGACAUUUGUUACAGGUUUUCUAAUAGUAAGGAACAGUGGAGCUACGGGAUAGAUAAUUUGGGAAAACUUCAGACUUCCUAAGUUGUGACUUUUAAUUACAGGCAACAGUGAAUGCCUAUCAGUAACGAUGCACAUGCAGUUACAUCAAUGAUCCUGCCUUGAGGUAGCCUUUUAUCCCCAAGUCUUGGGAUGUGGUUAUUACCAGCUUAUGUUUGUGUUCUUGCUACUCCCUCACAACAAAAUUCACCCUUCUGAGACAGGUAGAUAGGUAACUCUCCUUUAUCUUACAUGGGCAAAUGCAUGGGCUUCCUGUUUGAAAGGAAGGCACAGAGAUAUCCAGCCGUGCAAAUGAUGCUACAGAGCCUGGUGGUGUGAUCAGGGUCCAAGUGCUCCCCACACGACCUCCCUGCUGAAGGCACUGAUCCUUGCUGGGUCCUCAGUGUGUAUACACCAAACACUGCUGGAGAUCUGAAUGUCUUCUGUAUCAUCACUUCUGUUUCCCUAGUGCCAUUAAUUCCUUUCUCCUCCCCAAGCCUGGAGGAUACCAUCAGGGAGAAGCAAGCAUGCAGCCACUCAGUGCUUUGCAGCAGUGUUAGGCUCCACCAUGGCAGGGGCUCCGUAGUUUCUGAGUUGCAUUUCAAACGGGUUAAAUUUCUCUUGGAUAUAAUGUUCUGGUUUUAAAACGGGUCAGAAAAAACAUAGCAAAAUGAAACUAGGUGGAAGCCAAACGUCAGUAGAAUGUCAUUCUUCUCAGAAGGUCUUUCUCCUCAGCAGGAUUUAGGAAGGGAAGCUGUCUUUGACAGAUUUCUCUACCCUCCCCAGGGCUUGGCUGUAGCCACCUCCACCUGGCAGGGAUCUCCUUCCCCCACAUCACAUGCUUUCCCAAGUUAUUAGGUUUCACUUCUUCUUUUCAGGACACAGAAAGUGAUCCUCAGAAACCUCUCAAAAAGCGACACAAACGGGUUAUUUGUACUUGGCUGGGCUGUGAGAUUGGGUAUCACUGAUGCAGCCUGCACCUGCUGGCUUUGGUACACCUUUAUCAGUAAAUGGAAAGAUGAGGAGAAUCUGACAGGCUGUGCAAAUGCAGUGCUUGAUUCUUCACUGCCUUGUAAAGUCACUAAAACCUGAGAAACAGAAGAGAAAAAUAUUACCAGUGAAACAAAUGAAAUACUCCAGUUUAUUUAGCACAGGUACCAAUAACCAAAGAAGGGGGAAAAAACCCCAAACCAGUAGUCUUGCCUUUAUCUGCCUGGGGCAGAAGGAAAAGAAAAUUAAGAUACCUGUUUAGUUGUCAUUUACCUUAAGCAGGUGAAUGUAAACAGCAGUUAUUUGAGACUGUAUUAUUUUACACAAUGUGUUAUGGUGGAAAUACCUAUACAGGUGUUUGAAAAUGAAGAACCAGGCCCACAUCGCCCAGUGCUCCCUUCCAACAAAGACCUUUUCAUACUGCAUUGACAGCGCUGCCCACCAAAAAUAGCCCCAGCAUGAAGAGAUACCCAGCUGUUAUGUACUUUAGAGGGCACAGCCAGGUCGGGUGGGCAUUGAAUGAGAGUCCUGUGUGCUGUUGAAGCCAAGCUGUUGGCACAGUUAGUUGCACUACAACAGCCAACAGUGAUAGCUGGGAAAUUCUGCAGUCAGCUCCGGUCAGAAAAUUAAGUGUCUAAAAUGAUAUGAUGUGCUACAAGAGACUAAUUAAUAAAAUAACAACAAACAAACAGGUUUGCAAAAUAAAAAGAUGGCGAUGCGAGGAGUAAGAGGAUGGUACUUUUAGGUAUCCUCAUUACUUUCUGAUGUUUGCUUUUCAUCCCAAUUCAGACGAGAAAUUUUAUGAAAGCUCAAAAUCUUUUGCAGACUUUCUCACCCAGCCCCAGUGGUCAGAUCUGGAAAAGAGAAGGUCCAGGUAUAGUUUAUGAAGUUGGCUUUGCUUCCCACUUCAUUUCCACAUAUUAUUUGUGAUCUUCACUUAGGCUGCAAUGGUUUCUGUUUGAUUUCUCUCACUUUCAAGUAUCUCCAAAUCUCCUGCUUACUGGCAUCCCUGUUUGGUAUCUAGUUCACCGCAACUUUGCAAAAUCAUCAGUGACAUAAGAUUCUUCACACAGUUCAUUCCCUCCAUAUAAAAGAUGACUCCUCUUAUAUAGGUUCACUAACAGGAUUUGGCUGCACUGAGAAUGGCUCUUUAAUCCGAGGAGGCUGUUCACGUUCGAUUGGUCUCAGCCACAUCUCUUUGCUCUGUCAGUCCAUUCCUGAAUCCUUUUCACCCUAUAAAAGUGGCACUACCUCUUGAUUAAUUUCUACCACUCACUGCAUUAAUGCCUUACUCAGCGACUUUCUCCACAUAUUUAUGGCUUUCUUUGAAGCAGGAACAGCAUUAAGUCAUUGUUUAUUUCUUCUUUGCAUCUUGGUUAGCAGCGUGUGCUUCAACUCAGUAUUAACCUAAAUACACUGUCUGUUCCCACAUUUUAUAAGAGGUGGAUCCAGUUGGAGGUCUACUUCAUAAACUUCGGGAAAGAUAAAUUCAAUACUUUGCUCAGGAUUUUCACAGAAAAAACUAAUUCUUAAAGGCAAGUUUUUCUCCAGAUGGCAUUGUAUGGUCUGAAAUAAACAUCUGCAAGCAGUAGUCGUGCACUGGGGUGAUGUGAAACAGAGCAAAACUACUUGCCCAAGAGGGUUUACAUGGUCUCCCUUGUAUUUUGAAGUUGACUUAUGAGUGAUUAACCCAGAAUAGCAGGUUAUUGCUGUAGCACAGUUUUUGAUUUAGAGCCUAAUACUCCCAAGUGUGAAUUCACAGCCCCCCAUCUGCUGAGAGCAUUCCGAUACGUUGCUCAAGCCAACAACAGGUACAAAAACAGAUAUUUGGGACAGGGCUGGGGGGAGAAAGGGAAGGGCUUGUUUUAUUUUUAUUAGAAACACUCACUGAACAAAAUACUACAAGUGAAAAAUGCGUUCAGGAACUUGAAGGAGUUAGAGACUCCUUACUGAUUUUUUUUUUUCCCCUUGGUUAGAAAGUGUAGACCCAUGUUGCCCUAUCUAAAAAUAAAAAAAAAAAGGGAAUUAAACCACAUAUCAUGUUGCCUGUCUUUCAGCAGAUCAUUUUAUUGUAUAUACUGGACAGGAAGGCGAUAAAUUGCAGUUUUAAUGACUGUCAGGUUGUAACAUUGAAGUAUUUUGGUUGUAAUACCAAUUUAAACAUCUGGAAAAUCAAUUGUAACAAGACCUGUAACUGGUAUCAGUGGAAGUGUGCGAUCAGAUUAGGCAUCUUGGCAGAUGUUUUUCGGAAGCCUAAUAGAGAUGAGUGAUGAAAUUCCUCUGUUGGGGCUGACCUACUGUGAGUCCAAGCAAUAAGCAGAAUCACUCUGCAGGAGCAUCAGUCGCUGCCACUUUCCAGGAUCAUCAGUGAAAUUGGGAGAAAGGCCACUAGGCUUUCACUAGCAUAAAAGGACAGCAACAGGUAGAGAGGGAAAGAAUGAGUAGCUUGGAAGAAUGAAAAUUCAGAACAAGUGGUCUCAGAACUGAAGCUACUGAGAGACCCUGUGCUGAAACAUCAGAAAAUGUCAAUAGGUUCCUUGGGAAAAAAAAAUCCCAAACUUUUCUAUUAGAGUUCUUUUAAAUAAAAAAGAACACCAGUACAGGGGAUAUAGUCCAGGCACCUCCCAAACCAUUUGUUGCGCUUUCUAAAGAUAUGACAAGUAGACCGUGGAGCUGUUUAAUGACAUCCGCAGCCCAAAGGCUAAAUGGAAUAAAAUAACUUAGCUAAAGGUUUUAGAACUACCGUUUAUAUUAAUACAGAAAACCGCUCUAAUUAGUAACAGCCUACGUCAGCCAAAAAAGCAAAAAAAGAAUCCUUUUCUCAAUAGAAGUGUUAUUAUGUCUGUAAAUUGAAGUAUGGCAAAAUGUUGGAAUCCCUGAAAGACUAUGAUCAAUAACCCUCUGAUUUGUUUUUUGAUCCUGCAGGCUUAGACCCCUGAUCAUCAGAGUGAUCACAGAGCUCCUUUAAGCUCUGCGAUUAUUGGUGACUUAUACAAUACACAUUGAGCUCCUUUUUCCGUAAACUGGAGGACCUUUUUACUGCGCUACAAAUGUGCCUAAGCAGCGACAGCAGCCAGAAGGAUGUGCACAUGAUCCAGUGCAUAAUCACUUCCACAAGUGUCUGCUGCUAGUGCUUUCAAGAUAGAUAUAAUCCAAGCUGGAGACUAUUGUGAAUACCUCUCAUUUUCCCUUGCUGGUUCCUUAGCAGUUUGCUUGUAGCUAGUUAGAAAUAGAAUCCCCCAUCCUGAUUAAAUUGGUUAUAAUCUUUCCAAGAUUUGUGCUGCAGCAGGAAAAGACCAAACUCUAUUGAGUUCAGGAGGGGUUCAUUCUCUUAAAGGUACGCCGUGCAAAGCUGCAGGGAAGAAGAGAGGUUAAUGUUUAUUUCUAAAGGAGAUGUUCUCUGGCUAAAUGUAAGUAGCUGAAAAAAUAGAUGUUUCAACUAAUAGCCCAUGUACAUUUAUAAAUUAACAUUUGUCUGUAUUUGCAUAAUUUAAAGUCCUCUGCUUCUUUCCCAUUCAAAAGAAAAUUUUAAAAGUGGAAUGUGUUUACAACUCCAAAUUUCAUAGGUUACAUAUCUACAAGUAAAUGCUUUGCCAACAUUAUCAGUUCUGGAAUCCUCAGCGUAAGAAGGAUAUGGAACUGUUGGAAUGGAUCUAGAGGAGGGCUACAAGGAUGAUCAGAGGGCUGGAACACCUUCCUUACGAGGACAAGCUGAGAGAGUUGGGCCUGUUCAGCCUGGAGAAGGCUCUGAGGAGAUCUUAUAGAGACCUUCCAGUACCUGAAGGGGCUACAGAAAAGCUGGAGAGGGAAUGUUUACAAAGACUUGUAGUGAUAGGACCAGGGGGAAUGGGUAUAAACUGGAGAGGGGCAGAUUUAGACUGGACGUUAGGAAGAAUUUCUUCACCAUGAGAGUGGUGAGGCACUGGCACAGGUUGCCCAGGGAAG